GAUGAACGCUGGCGGCGUGCCUAAUACAUGCAAGUCGAACGCAGGGGCGGGAACCUUGCUUCUCUGAUGUUUGGCGAAGACGGGUGUGACACACGUGGAUACUCUCCCUUUGAGGGUGGGAAAACUUGGGGACACCGGAGCUAAUACCGGAUAAUAUUUUGUAGCGCAAGGUUUAAUAGUGAAAGACAGUCUUGCUGUUACUUAUAGAUGGAUCCGCGUUGCAUUAGCUUGUUGGUGAGGUAACGGCUUACCAAGGCAACGAUGCAUAGCCGACCUGGGAGGGUGAUCGCCCACACUGGAACUGAGACACGGUCCAGACUCUUACGGGAGGAACCAGUAGGGAAUUUUCCGCAUUGGGCGAAGGCCUGACGGAGCAACGCGGGGGGAUGGAGGAAGUUCUUCGGACCUUAAGCCUCUUUUAUUAGGGAAGAAGAGAGGUGGAAUGAACAGUGCACACCGUGACGGUACCUUAUCAGAAAGCCACGGCUAACUACGUG
rnacentral:rRNA from 1 species